rnacentral:rRNA from 1 species
AGAAUCAACGCUGGCGGCGUGCCUCAGACAUGCAAGUCGAACGCGAAAGUCCCCUUCGGGGACAAGUAGAGUGGCGCACGGGUGAGUAACACGUAGGUAAUCUACCUUUGGAUGGGGAAUAACAACCGGAAACGGUUGCUAAUACCGCAUAAUGCAGCGGCACCUAAUGGUGACAGUUGUUAAAGCGGGGGAUCGAAAGACCUCGCGUCUGAAGAGGAGCCUGCGGCGGAUUAGCUAGUUGGUAAGGUAACUGGCUUACCAAGGCUACGAUCC